GAGGUCAUUCGCUUGCACAGCAGAAACCACCGAUUUCGCAAAAAAGGGGGCGUAGUUCCUCAGUAAACAGCAGUCGGCCCUGACGUUCUAAUUCUAAAAACGGAGACAUUGAGCUCAAUUUGAUUUAAUUAUUUUAAAUUAAAAAAUUUGCAUGAGAACGGUGUCUAAAAAUGGAGCACGACUUGGAAGCCGCGAUGGACGAGAUGAUGCAGGCCGCUGACGUCAAGGGUGUGCUUUUGACAGACAAAACCGGCAUGACUCUCGGAUUUAGAGGCCUCGGUGCCAAACUGAACGCUGGCGGCGUCGACCGUGUGGCGAAAAUCGCCGCCAAACUGGACCCAAACGGCCGACUGCCGCAGGUGGUGGCCGUCGAGGGAGAAAACUCGCAAAUUCUCAUUCAGCAAAGGGCCAAUUUUACAGGCGCAAUGGUCCGGGAAGUCGUCUCUGCCCACAUGCCCUCUAAUUAAAUGAAGCUUCCAAUUUAAAAACCUGCAUCUCAGGGCGAGUGCUUAAAAUGUCUCCAAUGUCUUUUCUGGUCUGAAAAAUUUUUAUUUGUAAAUUUUUAUAGCAAAAAGGUUGAUUAAUGGUUAUUGUACAAACAAAAUUUUCUCAAGGUGCAGUACAAUAAUUUUAUAUAUUUUACUACGAAAGAAAGUGCAAAUUUUUCUGUAUGUUAACUUUGUGCAGUUCAAUGCAGGCCAUAUUUUUGUUUUGCAGUAACAAAAUAGAAUUAAAUCAUGAUGUGUAUCCAUAAGACUGCAGCCGCACUGGAUUUAUUAACCACAAAAAUAUAUGUACGAAAUCUAAAAGAUUUAAGCCUAAAAUUUA